GUGCAGCAGGCGAGAAUUUUUGACAAUGGGGGAAACCCUGAUCGAGCGACGCCGCGUGGAGGAUGAAGGUCUUCGGAUUGUAAACUCCUGUCAUUGGGGAACAAGGUGCAUACGUUAACUGCGUGUGUAUUGAUAGUACCCGAAGAGGAAGGGACGGCUAACUCCGUGCCAGCAGCCGCGGUAAUACAGAGGUCCCAAGCGUUGUUCGGAUUCAUUGGGCGUAAAGGGUGCGUAGGCGGCGCGGUAAGUCGGGUGUGAAAUCUCGGAGCUUAACUCCGAAACUGCAUUCGAUACUGCCGUGCUUGAGGACUGGAGAGGAGACUGGAAUUUACGGUGUAGCGGUGAAAUGCGUAGAUAUCGUAAGGAAGACCAGUGGCGAAGGCGGGUCUCUGGACAGUUCCUGACGCUGAGGCACGAAGGCCAGGGGAGCGAAACGGGAUUAGA
rnacentral:rRNA from 1 species